rnacentral:rRNA from 1 species
GACGAACCGUGCGAACGUUGUUCGGAAUCACUGGGCUUAAGGGCGCGUAGGCGGUCCACCAAGUCAGGGGUGAAAUCUUUCGGCUUAACCGGAAAAGUGCCUUUGAUACUGGUGGACUCGAGGGAGGUAGGGGCAGAUGGAGCUGGUGGUGGAGCGGUGAAAUGUGUAGAUAUCACUAGGAACGCCGGUGGCGAAAGCGAUCUGCUGGACCUCUACUGACGCUGAGGCGCGAAAGCCAGGGGAGCAAACGGG